GAUCAAAAUGUUGAUUGAGAGCAGAAUCAUUGAGGUAACAAAUUUUGGAUGUAUUUUGUAACAAAACUUUCCUAUGUUUCUUCCUCUUGGUUUUGCAUAACUGAUCUUGUGUGUCUUCUUAGCCUCGUUUUGAUGAUGUUCAACUAGCACCUAGUCUGCCUACUAAUUCAAAAAGUUAAGUCACGGAAUUGGUUAGUUUUACCGAAGACCUAUUACCCCUAUCCUAUUCUUUUGCUCUAUACUCGGUUUGUUUUACUUUUGGAAAUAUGCAGGACGAUAGUAAAAACAAGAAAGGUCUAUGAUCAUUCUGCUCCUGUUACUUCUUCAGAUGAUUGUAGAGACAACUUCUAGAGUAUCGUCUUGUUUUUGAAUCAAAUCUUUCUGCCAGUCGUAAAUUGUAAGCUUUUGUUCACCCUCUCAUUGUAAGAACAUCAACGAUUUUGCAGAAUUCGAAGCAACUGCAAUACUCAUUAGUGCUCUCUCCUCAACCUCAGUGAUGAAAAUAAUCUGACAUGGGUGUUGCAGCGUAAAGGCAAACGUAGGUGCACUUACUUACCAAUUUCUAAGUGCUUGACUUCCUAAACUCAAGAGGUGCAUCAAAUGAUACUACUAGAGUUAUAGCUCCAAUAGCUAGAUCAGAAUACAAGGUCUAUGAUUAUUUUAGUGGAGACUGCUGCUUUCACUCAAAGACGAGAGAGCGUUAACAGAUUCUCCGACAAGUGCAAAGAUUUCAAAGUCGCGAAAGCUGAGAUUCUCAAUAUCAUCAAUAUAUUGUCGAAUUGAUGCAAGGUCAUAGAGAAGCCCGAUGAUCGGGAAAUCAGCUCAGAUGGAAUACUAGAGAUCGUGCGGGAUUUGCUACAUUUUAAAGUCAUGAAGAAAAGGACUUAAGCAGAGAACGAUGCAUGCAUGCAUACAUACAUACAUACAUACAUAUAUGCAUACAUACAUACAUACAUAUAUGCAUACAUACAUACAUACAUACAUACAUACAUACAUAUAUGCAUACAUAUAUACAUAGAUUAUACAUAAUACAUACAUACAUGCAUGCAUACAUAUAUGCUUACAUACUUGCAUAAUUGCUUGCUUGUUUGGUUGCUUCCUUAUUUUCUUUUUUGAUUCAUUGGUUGCUAGCUCCCUUAAUUACUUGCUUUCUUGAUUGCCUGUCUACUUCUUUGCUCUUUCCUUGGUUCUUGCUUGCUUCUUUCCUCGGUUUCUUGUGUGGUUACAUGCUUUCGUAUUUCUUCCUUGAGUCCUUGCUUGGUUGACUUGUGUAGUACAUUACUUGCUUCAUUUGACUUGUUGUUUACUUUCUUUCUUCCUUAUUUUUCUUUGAUUCCUGCUUACUUGAUUUCUACAUCUUUGCUUAUUUUGUAACUUUGCUUCAUUGACUGGUUGUUUACAAUCUUGCUUGCUUCUUUAUUUUUCUUUGAUUUCCUGCAUCUUUGCUUAUUUUGUUACUUGCUUCGUUGGCUCGUUUGUUGUUCAUUCUCUUUUUAGCUUCCUCAUUUUUUCUUUGAUUUCCUCGCUUACUUAACUCCCUUACAUGCUUUAAAUGCUUGCUUCUUUGUUUCUAUGUUUAGUGCAUUACUUCCUUCUUUGCUUUUUGGUUCCUCUGUGUAGUGCAUUGUUUGCCUCUGCCUCUUUGAUUUCUCUGAUUUAGUUCAUUGCUUCUUUGCUACUUUGAUUUCUCUGUUUAGUGCAUUGCUUGCUUCUUUGCUUUUUGGUUCCUCUGUGUAGUGCAUUGUUUGCCUCUGAUUCUUUGAUUUCUCUGAUUUAGUUCAUUUAUUCUUUGCUAACUUGUUUCUCUGCUUAUUUGCUUUUUGGUUCCUAUGUUUAGUACAUUGUUUGCCUCUGCUUCUUUGAUUUCUCUGUUUAGGUUCAUUGAUUUCUUUGGUUAACUUGUUUCUCUGCUCUCUUGCUUCUUUGCUACUUGAUUUUGUUAUUGUACUCAGGUCUAGCAUGAUUUUUCAAGUUAUCAUUGUUCUAUACAUUUAAUUUAAGUUUUUACAUUAAUUUGAUGUCAUGUACUUACGAUUAGCAU